AUUGUCCCUAGAGGCAUUGUAGAUGUGCCUGCUGUGUUACAUGUGCAUCAGUAGGUGGCAGAAAAGAGACAGGCUAUGUCUUCAUUCACUGUUCUGAUGUAUGAACAUCUGAAUGAUUGAUUGAUUGAUUGAUUAGUAGCCUAACACU
ensembl:snoRNA Gm24579 predicted gene, 24579